AACGAACGCUGGCGGCAUGCCUAACACAUGCAAGUCGAACGAGACCUUCGGGUCUAGUGGCGCACGGGUGCGUAACGCGUGGGAACCUUCCCUUAGGUUCGGAAUAACUCCCCGAAAGGGGUGCUAAUACCGGAUAAUGUCUUCGGACCAAAGAUUUAUCGCCUUUGGAUGGGCCCGCGUUGGAUUAGCUGGUUGGUAGGGUAAAAGCCUACCAAGGCGACGAUCCAUAGCUGGUCUGGGAGGAUGAUCAGCCACACUCGGACUGAGACACGGCCCAGACUCCUACGGGAGGGAGCAGUGGGGAAUAUUGGACGAUGGGCGAGAGCCUGAUCCAGCAAUGCCGCGUGAGUGAUGAAGGCCUUAGGGUUGUAAAGCUCUUUUACCCGGGAUGAUAAUGACGGUACCGGGAGAAUAAGCUCCGGCUAACUACGUG
rnacentral:rRNA from 1 species